GGUGGACAGGUGCUGCAUGGCUGUCGUCAGCUCGUGUCGUGAGAUGUUGGUUAAGUCCCGCAACGAGCGCAACCCCUAUCUUUAGUUGCCAUCAUUGAGUUGGGCACUCUAAAGAGACUGCCGGUGUCAAACCCGGAGGAAGGUGGGGAUGACGUCAAGUCCUCAUGGCCUUUAUGACCAGGGCUACACACGUACUACAAUGGCCGGUACAGAGGGCUGCGAAGCCGCGAGGUGGAGCGAAUCCCAGAAAACCUGUCUCAGUCCGGAUUGAAGUCUGCAACUCGACUUCAUGAAGGCGGAACCGCUAGUAACCGCGAAUCAGCAGGUCGCGGUGAAUACGUUCCCGGGCCUU
rnacentral:rRNA from 1 species